rnacentral:lncRNA from 1 species
UCCGCUAGAAACCUCCAUUUGAUCAAUAUUUUUAUAGACUCGACAAUAUAAAGAAACAAGACUCAAUGUAUACACAGUGCCACUAUGUUGGAUCUUGAAUUAACAAAAUUGCCGAGCAAUGUAACUUAAAGAAACAAAACUUAGAUUUCGAUUUAUAGGGCAAUAAGAGAAACAUGGAAAAGACAGAUCGGAUGGUGAAAAAACCCGGGAACUUGCAAAAUGAUUGUUGGAAUUGGAGGGAAUUAAUAGUGAGGGAUUCUGAUACUGAAAGAGAAGAGUCGGUGGGUUCUUGGCGUGAAUGGGAUGGUGAUUCAAAAGCGUGUGUGUGUCAUAGAUGCAGGAUGCUGGCAUUUUUUCUAAGGUGUGCAGUUGAAGAUGCCACCAUUGGAGCUUUUUUAGCUG